UUGAUUUAUUUAAUCAUUUACUCAGAAGUUACAAUAAGAAACAUUAGAGUUUGGGUCCUCUGGCGGGCCGUCCCGUUUUACGGGGCGCGGGCUGAUCCGCCGAGGCAACAUUAAGGUAUGUUCACAGGGGUUUGGGAGUUGUAAACUCGGUAAUGAUCCCUCCGCUGGUUCACCAACGGAGA
rnacentral:misc_RNA from 1 species